UGCAAGUCGAACGAAGUAGCAAUACUUAGUGGCAGACGGGUGAGUAACAUGUAGGUAUCUGCCCUUUGGCCUGGAAUAACACGAGGAAACUUGUGCUAAUACCGGAUAAGUCUUUACGGAGAAAGCUUUAUGCACCAUUGGAUGAGCCUGCACUUGAUUAGUUUGUUGGUGGGGUAAUGGCCUACCAAGACUGUGAUCAAUAGCUGAUUUGAGAGGAUGAUCAGCCACAUUGGGACUGAGACACGGCCCAAACUCCUACGGGAGGCAGCAGUGGGGAAUCUUGCACAAUGGAGGAAACUCUGAUGCAGCGAUGCCGCGUGAGUGAAGAAGGCCCUUGGGUUGUAAAGCUCUUUCGUCGGGGAAGAAAAUGACUGUACCCGAAUAAGAAGGUCCGGCUAACUUCGUGCCAGCAGCCGCGGUAAUACGAAGGGACCUAGCGUAGUUCGGAAUUACUGGGCUUAAAGAGUUCGUAGGUGGUUGAAAAAGUUGGUGGUGAAAUCCCAGAGCUUAACUCUGGAACUGCCAUCAAAACUUUUCAGCUAGAGUAUGAUAGAGGAAAGCAGAAUUUCUAGUGUAGAGGUGAAAUUCGUAGAUAUUAGAAAGAAUACCAAUUGCGAAGGCAGCUUUCUGGAUCAUUACUGACACUGAGGAACGAAAGCAUGGGUAGCGAAGAGGAUUAGAUACCCUCGUAGUCCAUGCCGUAAACGAUGUGUGUUAGACGUUGGAAAUUUAUUUUCAGUGUCGCAGCGAAAGCGAUAAACACACCGCCUGGGGAGUACGACCGCAAGGUUAAAACUCAAAUGAAUUGACGGGGACCCGCACAAGUAGUGAACAUGUGGUUUAAUUCGAAGAUACGCGCAGAACCUUACCACACUUGACAUGUUCGUCGCGACUCUA
rnacentral:rRNA from 1 species